UAACCCAGUGCGCUAGAGGAAUUAAAGAC
rnacentral:piRNA from 1 species